UACGGGGGGAGCAAGCGUUGUUCGGAAUUACUGGGCGUAAAGGGCGUGUAGGCGGCCUUGUAAGUCGGGGGUGAAAUCCACUGGCUCAACCAGUGACGUGCCUUCGAAACUGCUUGGCUUGAGUAUGGCAGAGGAAAGCGGAAUUCCAGGUGUAGCGGUGAAAUGCGUAGAUAUCUGGAAGAACACCGGUGGCGUAGGCGGCUUUCUGGGCCAAUACUGACGCUGAGGCGCGAAAGCCAGGGGAGCAAACGGG
rnacentral:rRNA from 1 species